GUGGGGAAUAUUGGACAAUGGGCGCAAGCCUGAUCCAGCCAUGCCGCGUGAGUGAUGAAGGCCCUAGGGUUGUAAAGCUCUUUCACCGGAGAAGAUAAUGACGGUAUCCGGAGAAGAAGCCCCGGCUAACUUCGUGCCAGCAGCCGCGGUAAUACGAAGGGGGCUAGCGUUGUUCGGAAUUACUGGGCGUAAAGCGCACGUAGGCGGACAUUUAAGUCAGGGGUGAAAUCCCGGGGCUCAACCCCGGAACUGCCUUUGAUACUGGGUGUCUGGAGUAUGGAAGAGGUAAGUGGAAUUCCGAGUGUAGAGGUGAAAUUCGUAGAUAUUCGGAGGAACACCAGUGGCGAAGGCGGCUUACUGGUCCAUUACUGACGCUGAGGUGCGAAAGCGUGGGGAGCAAACAGGAUUAGAUACCCGUGUAGUCC
rnacentral:rRNA from 1 species